rnacentral:rRNA from 1 species
CCUACGGGAGGCAGCAGUGGGGAAUAUUGCGCAAUGGGCGAAAGCCUGACGCAGCGACGCCGCGUGAGGGAUGAAGGUCUUCGGAUCGUAAACCCCUGUCAGCAGGGAAGAACGGUCACUGUGCUAAUCAGCAGUGAAUUGCCGGUACCUGCAAAGGAAGCACCGGCUAACUCCGUGCCAGCAGCCGAGGUAAUACGGAGGGUGCGAGAGUUUAACGGAAUUACGGGGCGUAAAGCGCGAGUAGGCGGUAUGUCAAGUCAAGGGUGAAAUCCCCUCGCUCAACGUGGGAACUGCCUUUGAAACUGGCAAACUGGAGUGUGUGAGAGGAUAGUGGAAUUCCUGGUGUAGGAGUGAAAUCCGUAGAUAUCUGGAGGAACAUCAGUUGCGAAGGCGACUAUCUGGCACAUAACUGACGCUGAGGAGCGAAAGCGUGGGUAGCAAACAGGAUUAGAUACCCGGGUAGUC